CCUACGUGUGGCAGCAGUGAGGAAUAUUGGUCAAUGGGCGCAAGCCUGAACCAGCCAAGCAGCGUGAAGGAUGACUGCCCUAUGGGUUGUAAACUUCUUUUGUACAGGAAUAAAGCUAGAUACGUGUGUUUAUCUGAAAGUACUGUACGAAUAAGGAUCGGCUAACUCCGUGCCAGCAGCCGCGGUAAUACGGAGGAUCCGAGCGUUAUCCGGAUUUAUUGGGUUUAAAGGGUGCGUAGGCGGGUUGUUAAGUUAGUGGUGAAAUGUUGCGGCUUAACCGUGGAACUGCAUUUAAUACUGGCAGUCUUGAGUGUAGAUGAGGUAGGCGGAAUGCAUGGUGUAGCGGUGAAAUGCUUAGAGAUCACAAAGAACUCCGAUUGCGAAGGCAGCUUACUAAUCUAUAUCUGACGUUGAGGCACGAAAGUGUGGGUAGCAAACAGGAUUAGAUACCCGAGUAGUC
rnacentral:rRNA from 1 species